GAUCAACGGUCACGGGCAAGCAUGUACUUGCUGUCGUAGGUCGGGUCCGGGCGCGGCUUAUCGCCAUGGCCGGCCUGACCGGUUGCAAA
rnacentral:sRNA from 1 species